rnacentral:lncRNA from 1 species
AGUGGAAAAACACCCACAGCUCUGUGCUGCUGCUGGAAUAGCUUACUUUGAUGUGCAGAGGGCCCAGACAUUGUGCUCGUGGGCACCCCCUGUUGCAGAAGCCCCUGUGUUGCCGUUCCCUGGCAGCCUCAGUGAUGAAUAAAGUGCUAGCAAGAACCAUAAAGGUAUAUGCAUUUAAUUAAGGCUUCAGAGAGCUAUUGCAUUUUUUUCCUACUAAAUAUUAAUUUCCUUUUUAAAACAGUACUUUUGAGAUAUUUUGACAGCAAAACUGGUCCUUUAAUGCCA